AUGGGUUUAAUGACAAGCAUGACCAAAAAUCAGUUUGGUUUCAUGCCUGGGAGGUCGACCAUGGAAGCCAUUUUCUUGGUACGACAACUCAUGGAGAGAUACAGGGAGCAAAAGAAGGACUUGCAUAUGGUGUUCAUUGACUUAGAGAAGGCAUAUGAUAAGAUACCGCGGAAUGUCAUGUGGUGGCCCUUGGAGAAACACAAAGUCCCAGCAAAGUACAUUACCCUCACCAAGGACAUGUAUGAUAAUGUUGUGACAAGUCAUGUCGCCACUGAUGACGUCCCGAUUAAGAUAGGACUGCAUCAGGGGUCAGCUUUGAGCCCUUAUCUUUUUGGCUUGGUGAUGGAUGAGGUCACAAAGGGAUAUACAAGGAGAUAUCCCAUGGUAUAUGCUCUUUGCGGAUGA
rnacentral:rRNA from 1 species